rnacentral:rRNA from 1 species
UGCUAGUCGUACGAGUUCAUACUCGUGGCGAAUAGCUCAGUAACACGUGGCCAAACUACCCUUCGGAGCUCCAUACCCUCGGGAAACUGAGGCUAAUAGAGCAUACCACAAUCCAGCUGGAAUGAGGAUUGUGCCAAACGCUCCGGCGCCGAAGGAUGUGGCUGCGGCCGAUUAGGUAGACGGUGGGGUAACGGCCCACCGUGCCAAUAAUCGGUACGGGUCAUGAGAGUGAGAACCCGGAGACGGAAUCUGAGACAAGAUUCCGGGCCCUACGGGGCGCAGCAGGCGCGAAACCUUUACACUGCACGCCAGUGCGAUAAGGGGAUCCCAAGUGCGCAGGCAUAGAGCCUGCGCUUUUGUACACCGUAGGGAGGUGUACGAAUAAGGGCUGGGCAAGACCGGUGCCAGCCGCCGCGGUAAUACCGGCAGCCCGAGUGAUGGCCGAUCUUAUUGGGCCUAAAGCGUCCGUAGCUGGCCGCACAAGUCCAUCGGAAAAUCCACCCGCCCAACGGGUGGGCGUCCGGUGGAAACUGUGUGGCUUGGGACCGGAAGGCGCGACGGGUACGUCCGGGGUAGGAGUGAAAUCCCGUAAUCCUGGACGGACCGCCGAUGGCGAAAGCACGUCGCGAGGACGGAUCCGACAGUGAGGGACGAAAGCCAGGGUCUCGAACCGGAUUAGAUACCCGGGUAGUCCUGGCCGUAAACAAUGUCUGUUAGGUGUGGCUCCCACUACGAGUGGGUGCUGUGCCGUAGGGAAGCCGCUAAACAGACCGCCUGGGAAGUACGUCCGCAAGGAUGAAACUUAA